rnacentral:lncRNA from 1 species
GCAGAGUGCUGAAGGUGCUGUCUGUCUGCUCUAGCAACAAGCCGGCCAUCGUGGAAGCUGGUGAGUGCACAUACACAGUCUGAGAGCUCACAGUGCACACUCACCUUUCCCUGCGUUACUGCUCAGUUAUUUGUCAAAGACAAAAGCACAUCGCUCCAUAAAGCUUGUUUCUGAUUUUGAUUUUGGUAAAUGUGAGGUUGGGCCUCACUAGCAACCCUGUGAAUAUAGAGUCCAGCUUACUAGAGAAGUGGUUAUGUCUGUCUUGUUCUGUGUGAGAUUUGUUGUGAAUGUCUUCUUCUCAGUGAGCCGUUCCCUACUGUUUUUGUCCUGCGUUUUAAUUGGGCAGCUAUGUAUGGCAGUUUAUGUUGUGCCUGGUGAUAAAGAAAAACAAGGUUCAUGUCCAAGCCUCUUGGUUAGGGUGAAAGUAGUUUCAGUUCUCUGGCUUCCUUUCAGUAAGCAGCUAACAUCUGUCUAGGCUGCUGAACCAAGCAAGCUUUAGAUCCCAAGUAGAGGUGGGAAAUGGUGAAGGCAUUAUGUGGGGGAAGGCGCUGAAGAUGAGGCACUGGGUUGCAGCAGCCAUCUUUGGGUUGUUGGGAACACUUCAGG